UACAGAGGGUGCGAGCGUUAAUCGGAAUUACUGGGCGUAAAGCGUGCGUAGACGGCUAUCUAAGUCGGGUGUGAAAGCCCCGGGCUCAACCUGGGAAUUGCAUUCGAGACUGAAUAGCUAGGGUACGGUAGAGGGAAGCGGAAUUUCCGGUGUAGCGGUGAAAUGCGCAGAUAUCGGAAGGAACAUCAGUGGCGAAAGCGGCUUCCUGGACCAGUACCGACGUUCAGGCACGAAAGCGUGGGGAGCAAACAGG
rnacentral:rRNA from 1 species